rnacentral:rRNA from 1 species
GAACGCAUAGCGCCGUUGGGUUUUCCCUUCGGCACGUCUGGUUCAGGGUUGUUUAUAUCUACUACAGUGUAGCUUGUGACACUGUUUGUCGAACGGCACUUGCUUAUAGCAAUUCCCGUUCUAGAUCAGAAUAUAUUGCAACAUGUACGUUAG